rnacentral:lncRNA from 1 species
UUUAAUCAAUUAGCACUUUUCAUAACAUUGAGUAGUCACGACAUUGAGACCCUGUAGACAUUCGACUCUAGUUAAUUCAUUACCUAGGUUUAUUUUGAUAACGCCUAAAACCGUUCAUCAGCGAUCGACUAGACCAAGUCGUGACCAUGAUUUUAUUAGAGUUAUGAACGUAUACACUUUUCGUGACGAAUAUUCCUACCCUUUUCCCGUCACAACAAUUUUCAUUGUAGGAUACAACUACUAACACCUUCAAAAUCAAGGUUUAACAAAAUUGAAGAACUUCGAGAACUUGUGAGAUGAUGGA